UCACUAUACAUUCCACCAAGUAUGACAUAAUUCCUUAUUUGGGCCUUGACUUCUUUUUUUUCUCCACCCUCUCUUUGCCAGAUAAGGUGCCGUGUGUUUCCCUGCUACUCUUCCCUGAGGGAACCUGGCCUUGGCAUGAAACCUGCCUGCCUGGGUAAUCGACUGCUGCACGAGGGGGAGACAUACCUUUGAUGUCUCUGGACUGGUGGGAUUCACUCGAAGAGAGAAGAGGACGUUGGCAGCAUGUGAGUGUCUGAGUGGGAUUCAGCCAGGCCAGCACUGGUGAUUUAAAGCAAGGCUUCCAGCAUCUAGCAGCACUAGUCCAGAGUCUCCUGUUGGUGUCCAACAUUGUCCGUCCCAAGCACAGGUCGCCACGGUGACGGAAAGCCAUGCCAGGUUUCGGUAACUUCAAUGAACUGCCCUGAUGGAGUGAGCUGACCAUCAGUCCACUGCCAACCCGAAACCGGACGGUGUGACACACAGAGCCCAAUAACUUCCUCCCUCAGUGCAAACAGUUAGAAUGAGCAAAGCAAAUAAGAUGAGCCAUCCACUGACGGGAUCUGGCUCAAUACCUCACCUCAGACAAACUUAUCCCUGUGUCCACCUCAGUGGUUAUGUGUGUGUUACUUUAAAGUACUAACAUUUAGGUGGAAGCCAGA